GUCGCCACUUUUUUAGUGCAAUUCUUUGCUCUCAUUCUUUCUAACUGAUUUGAAUUUUUUUCGUAGUACUCUUUGCAAAAUCGCCUUACAUUUCGCAUAUUUCUCGGUUCCCUUUUAAGUUCAUGACGACGUUUUUUCUGUACGCAAUAUCUUGAUGAAAUGGAAUCUUCAUCAUCAAAACACUUCACUAAAUACAUUUCUAACUUCAUCCUAAAAUCGUUUUUCGCAAUGGUGAACUAUAAGCAGUCAUUUAAUCAGACAAAUCAACUGAAGAUUUCCCUAAAUUAUAAUCUACUACCAUUUUUGGCUUCUCAUACGAGCAAAAUAGUCUACAGAGCCUUGGGGGCCACCGGUGUCUCCCACCAUGAAAAUUGCAUAAGACAUGUUUAUACAACUCACCUUAUCUGCUGUAAAUAAUAUUUGAACAUAAUAUGCAUCACAUACUAAAAAAUUUAUGUUGGCGCCUUGCGCAAAUUACAUAAAAUUCGAGCGACAGUCAACGUAUAUCAAUUUUAUUACAUAUUUAAUCGUAUGCAAUGGCAGAUGAUUUAAGGAAAGAUAUGAAGGAUGCAAUUAUAGAUGAUGCUCUAUAAUCAUAUUAAAUUCAAUUGUAUACAAUAUUAGAAAGAUAGUUCCUUUUAAUGGAAUAUUAAUUACAUAUAGAAUAUAGAAUAUAGGAAGGGAAAGUUAUACAUUUUUACAGAACUCGAACUGCGAAUUUAUAUACGUUAAUGAAUUUCUCUAUGACAAUGAUGCUACAAAUGAGUUAAGAAAUGAUUUGAUGAAAUUAUAAAAAUAUUACUAUAUUGACUAUGGAUCACGAGAUAUAAAACUAUUAAGAUUAUAAAAUUAUAACAUCUUUAUAAAACUUUAUCUUUAAA